GGUUAAGCGACUAAGCGUACACGGUGGAUGCCCUGGCAGUCAGAGGCGAUGAAGGACGUGCUAAUCUGCGAUAAGCGUCGGUAAGGUGAUAUGAACCGUUAUAACCGGCGAUUUCCGAAUGGGGAAACCCAGUGUGUUUCGACACACUAUCAUUAACUGAAUCCAUAGGUUAAUGAGGCGAACCGGGGGAACUGAAACAUCUAAGUACCCCGAGGAAAAGAAAUCAACCGAGAUUCCCCCAGUAGCGGCGAGCGAACGGGGAGCAGCCCAGAGCCUGAAUCAGUGUGUGUGUUAGUGGAAGCGUCUGGAAAGGCGCGCGAUACAGGGUGACAGCCCCGUACACAAAAAUGCACAUGCUGUGAGCUCGAUGAGUAGGGCGGGACACGUGGUAUCCUGUCUGAAUAUGGGGGGACCAUCCUCCAAGGCUAAAUACUCCUGACUGACCGAUAGUGAACCAGUACCGUGAGGGAAAGGCGAAAAGAACCCCGGCGAGGGGAGUGAAAAAGAACCUGAAACCGUGUACGUACAAGCAGUGGGAGCACGCUUAGGCGUGUGACUGCGUACCUUUUGUAUAAUGGGUCAGCGACUUAUAUUCUGUAGCAAGGUUAACCGAAUAGGGGAGCCGAAGGGAAACCGAGUCUUAACUGGGCGUUAAGUUGCAGGGUAUAGACCCGAAACCCGGUGAUCUAGCCAUGGGCAGGUUGAAGGUUGGGUAACACUAACUGGAGGACCGAACCGACUAAUGUUGAAAAAUUAGCGGAUGACUUGUGGCUGGGGGUGAAAGGCCAAUCAAACCGGGAGAUAGCUGGUUCUCCCCGAAAGCUAUUUAGGUAGCGCCUCGUGAAUUCAUCUCCGGGGGUAGAGCACUGUUUCGGCAAGGGGGUCAUCCCGACUUACCAACCCGAUGCAAACUGCGAAUACCGGAGAAUGUUAUCACGGGAGACACACGGCGGGUGCUAACGUCCGUCGUGAAGAGGGAAACAACCCAGACCGCCAGCUAAGGUCCCAAAGUCAUGGUUAAGUGGGAAACGAUGUGGGAAGGCCCAGACAGCCAGGAUGUUGGCUUAGAAGCAGCCAUCAUUUAAAGAAAGCGUAAUAGCUCACUGGUCGAGUCGGCCUGCGCGGAAGAUGUAACGGGGCUAAACCAUGCACCGAAGCUGCGGCAGCGACGCUGAUGCGUUGUUGGGUAGGGGAGCGUUCUGUAAGCCUGCGAAGGUGUGCUGUGAGGCAUGCUGGAGGUAUCAGAAGUGCGAAUGCUGACAUAAGUAACGAUAAAGCGGGUGAAAAGCCCGCUCGCCGGAAGACCAAGGGUUCCUGUCCAACGUUAAUCGGGGCAGGGUGAGUCGACCCCUAAGGCGAGGCCGAAAGGCGUAGUCGAUGGGAAACAGGUUAAUAUUCCUGUACUUGGUGUUACUGCGAAGGGGGGACGGAGAAGGCUAUGUUGGCCGGGCGACGGUUGUCCCGGUUUAAGCGUGUAGGCUGGUUUUCCAGGCAAAUCCGGAAAAUCAAGGCUGAGGCGUGAUGACGAGGCACUACGGUGCUGAAGCAACAAAUGCCCUGCUUCCAGGAAAAGCCUCUAAGCAUCAGGUAACAUCAAAUCGUACCCCAAACCGACACAGGUGGUCAGGUAGAGAAUACCAAGGCGCUUGAGAGAACUCGGGUGAAGGAACUAGGCAAAAUGGUGCCGUAACUUCGGGAGAAGGCACGCUGAUAUGUAGGUGAGGUCCCUCGCGGAUGGAGCUGAAAUCAGUCGAAGAUACCAGCUGGCUGCAACUGUUUAUUAAAAACACAGCACUGUGCAAACACGAAAGUGGACGUAUACGGUGUGACGCCUGCCCGGUGCCGGAAGGUUAAUUGAUGGGGUUAGCGCAAGCGAAGCUCUUGAUCGAAGCCCCGGUAAACGGCGGCCGUAACUAUAACGGUCCUAAGGUAGCGAAAUUCCUUGUCGGGUAAGUUCCGACCUGCACGAAUGGCGUAAUGAUGGCCAGGCUGUCUCCACCCGAGACUCAGUGAAAUUGAACUCGCUGUGAAGAUGCAGUGUACCCGCGGCAAGACGGAAAGACCCCGUGAACCUUUACUAUAGCUUGACACUGAACAUUGAGCCUUGAUGUGUAGGAUAGGUGGGAGGCUUGGAAGUGUGGACGCCAGUCUGCAUGGAGCCGACCUUGAAAUACCACCCUUUAAUGUUUGAUGUUCUAACGUUGACCCGUAAUCCGGGUUGCGGACAGUGUCUGGUGGGUAGUUUGACUGGGGCGGUCUCCUCCUAAAGAGUAACGGAGGAGCACGAAGGUUGGCUAAUCCUGGUCGGACAUCAGGAGGUUAGUGCAAUGGCAUAAGCCAGCUUGACUGCGAGCGUGACGGCGCGAGCAGGUGCGAAAGCAGGUCAUAGUGAUCCGGUGGUUCUGAAUGGAAGGGCCAUCGCUCAACGGAUAAAAGGUACUCCGGGGAUAACAGGCUGAUACCGCCCAAGAGUUCAUAUCGACGGCGGUGUUUGGCACCUCGAUGUCGGCUCAUCACAUCCUGGGGCUGAAGUAGGUCCCAAGGGUAUGGCUGUUCGCCAUUUAAAGUGGUACGCGAGCUGGGUUUAGAACGUCGUGAGACAGUUCGGUCCCUAUCUGCCGUGGGCGCUGGAGAACUGAGGGGGGCUGCUCCUAGUACGAGAGGACCGGAGUGGACGCAUCACUGGUGUUCGGGUUGUCAUGCCAAUGGCACUGCCCGGUAGCUAAAUGCGGAAGAGAUAAGUGCUGAAAGCAUCUAAGCACGAAACUUGCCCCGAGAUGAGUUCUCCCUGACCCUUUAAGGGUCCUGAAGGAACGUUGAAGACGACGACGUUGAUAGGCCGGGUGUGUAAGCGCAGCGAUGCGUUGAGCUAACCGGUACUAAUGAACCGUGAGGCUUAACCUU
rnacentral:rRNA from 2 species